rnacentral:rRNA from 1 species
AAUGAACGUUGGCGGCGUGGAUUAGGCAUGCAAGUCGCGCGCGAUCCCCUUCGGGGGUGAGAGCGGCGGAAGGGAGAGUAACGCGUAGAUACCUACCCUCGGGACCGGAAUAGCGACGGGAAACUGUCGGUAAUGCCGGAUAACGUCCCUGGACCAAAGGUGAGAUUCCGCCUGAGGAGGGGUCUGCGUCCUAUUAGCUAGUCGGCGGGGUAACGGCCCACCGAGGCGAAGAUGGGUACCGGGCGUGAGAGCGUGACCCGGCUCACUGGGACUGAGACACUGCCCAGACACCUACGGGUGGCUGCAGUCGAGAAUCUUCGGCAAUGAGCGCAAGCUUGACCGAGCGACGCCGCGUGCGGGAUGAAGGCCUUCGGGUUGUAAACCGCUGUCAGUGGGGAGGAAAUUCGGGGGGGUUCUCCCCUUCGAUUGACCGAUCCGCAGAGGAAGGACGGGCUAAGUUCGUGCCAGCAGCCGCCGUAAAAC